UCCCUUAGAUGUCCUGGGCCGCACGCGCGCUACACUGAGUGUCUGAGAUACGAGUCUGCCUGGUCCGGCAAGGUCUAGGUAAUCGCUAAAAGACACAUCAUGCUUGGGAUAGAUUAUUGCAAAUAUUAAUCUUGAACGAGGAAUUCCUAGUAAGCGCAAGUCAACAGCUUGCGUUGAUUACGUCCCUGCCCUUUGUACACACCGCCCGUCGCUACUACUGAUUGGAUGUUUAAGCGAGGUUCUCGAACUGCUAGCGACUUAGCUUCGGUGAGGUCGCAGUGUGGGAAGUGAACCUAGCUUUGGUGUCUAGAGGAAGUAAAAGUCGUAACA
rnacentral:rRNA from 1 species